GCAUAUCAAUAAGCGGAGGAAAAGAAACUAACAAGGAUUCCCUUAGUAACGGCGAGUGAAGCGGGAAGAGCUCAAAUUUGAAAUCUUCAAGGUUUUACCUUGACGAAUUGUAGUUUAAAGAAGUGUUGUCUGUUGAAGUUUUGGUAAAAGUUCUUUGGAAUAGGACAUCAUAGAGGGUGAGAAUCCCGUAUUUGACCAUUAUUUUCAGCUGUGUGAUACACUUUCAAAGAGUCGGAUUGUUUGGGAAUGCAGUCCAAAAUGGGUGGUAAAUUUCAUCUAAAGCUAAAUAUUGGCGAGAGACCGAUAGCGAACAAGUACCGUGAGGGARAGAUGAAAAGAACUUUGAAAAGAGAGUUAAACAGUACGUGAAAUUGUCAAAAGGGAAGCGUUUGACACCAGUGUUGUUUUCUCGAAAAUCAAUUAAAAAGAGUUGGAUUUUGUGUUGUAUUGACCUUAACAGCUUGCUUCACUCUUUUCCWGCUUUUUUUAAUGCACUUUUCGUUUAACAAGUCAACAUCAGUUUCUUUUGUUGUAAAAGGGUCAUUGGAAGGUGGCUUUCUCUUCGGAGAAAGUGUUUAUAGCCUUUGAUCUCUGCAAUCGGAGAGACUGAGGUCUGCAGCGUAGAUCCUUCGGGGUUAGAUACAUUUGUGCUAAGCUACAGCUUUUCAUAGACAACUUGUUGACUAUGUUUAGUCUUGUGACUUACCCGCUUAUGCUAUUUUACCUACGCUUAGGAUGUUGACAAAAUGGUUUUAAACGACCCGUCUUGAAACACGGACC
rnacentral:rRNA from 1 species